rnacentral:tRNA from 1 species
GGAGGAUUAGUCUAAUUGGUAAGGCAGCAGUCUUGAAAACUGCCGGGCUCACGCCCUUGGGGGUUCGAGUCCCUCAUCCUCCG